GUAUUGUAUUGCGUUAGACGCGACAUACAUUCCAUUAUACUUUUGUUACAGUGUGUGUGUAAAGGUGUAGGACCACAGCAAGAGGGACAGAGCCCCCCAGGCCAUAGAACUACGAGGGUGCACAGGUGUGAGUGGAUGUGUAAACAGAGCGUGCACAUGUCCCCUUUCGAGGACCAGCAACAACUCGUGUUGACAGUUCAGUAAUGAUCCUUCCGCAGGUUCACCUACGGAAA
rnacentral:misc_RNA from 1 species